rnacentral:rRNA from 1 species
AUUGAACGCUGGCGGCAUGCCUUACACAUGCAAGUCGAACGGCAGCACGGGUGCUUGCACCUGGUGGCGAGUGGCGAACGGGUGAGUAAUACAUCGGAACAUGUCCUGUAGUGGGGGAUAGCCCGGCGAAAGCCGGAUUAAUACCGCAUACGAUCUACGGAUGAAGGCGGGGGACCUUCGGGCCUCGCGCUAUAGGGUUGGCCGAUGGCUGAUUAGCUAGUUGGUGGGGUAAAGGCCUACCAAGGCGACGAUCAGUAGCUGGUCUGAGAGGACGACCAGCCACACUGGGACUGAGACACGGCCCAGACUCCUACGGGAGGCAGCAGUGGGGAAUUUUGGACAAUGGGCGAAAGCCUGAUCCAGCAAUGCCGCGUGUGUGAAGAAGGCCUUCGGGUUGUAAAGCACUUUUGUCCGGAAAGAGAUCCUUGGCCCUAAUACGGUCGGGGGAUGACGGUACCGGAAGAAUAAGCACCGGCUAACUACGUG